CAAAGAAACCGCCUAUUCUUUUAGAUUCAUCCAGUCUCGGGAAACUGUGCGCUCACAGUGAUGACACUAUAAAGGAUGAGGACAGAGCCAUCGUCCCUAAGCAAAAACAAGAUGCUGAUAAAACCUACGUCCCACCUCCUUCCUUCCCUGUGGUGGCCUCCUACCCGGUGGCACCUCACCUGAGCUCUCCUGACAGUAGCCCCACUGGCCCAGUCAAACUUCCAGCCCUGCUGUCAAUCACCUAGUGAACAGAAAAACAACUAGCCAGUUUUCUGCCCUCCUUCCUAGGAGCCUGCUUCCUAUUUACUAACUUGAUCAGUGAAACGGCAACAAGGUGGUCAGCAGAACAUGGGUUCACACAUUGUGUCCUUUUCAGACACGCUUCGGAAGCCGGCUACUCAACAAGAAAUGUUGAUGCUCUGACCCUGCGCACAUGCUUUCAGGACUGGAUCUGUGGAGGCUGAGGGUCUUCUAUGGAAAGAGGCUUGAAGUCCACGUAUAGAGCAUUCAUGGAAGAAGAACAUGGCUAGUUUUCUGGGACUGCUCCUAUUAUCUGCCCGAAGAAACCCAGAUUCCAGAGUAGAGGAACGCAUUCUACAUGACUACGUCUCCAGCAUCCUUCACUGCCUACGGAGUCCAAGGUUUCUUUCAUGUCAGCCAUGUCUAUAGUGCUAAUCACUUGUUCUUGGCGAUGCUGUUAGAAAUCUGCUGGAAAUGCCUGUGUGACACGAGUUCCAAGCAGCUACUGGCAGGAAGAGAAGACAGUGUGACGAUGAGGGGAAUUCCUGGUCAUUGGAAUGAAGUCAGACCAGGAUCUGAAACCAUGUUCUGCCGCUCAGAAAAAUGUGGACCUUGGCAGCAGUAAAAUGGGACCAAUGCCCACAAGGAUGUGCUGGGGAUGUUCAUAGGAGGCAGAGGAAAGCUCUUGCUUCAUUCCCUCCCUCUCAUUUCUCCUCUUAGGAAAA